rnacentral:rRNA from 1 species
UAACGCGUGGGAAUCUGCCCUUGGGUUCGGAAUAACAGUGAGAAAUUACUGCUAAUACCGGAUGAUGUCUUCGGACCAAAGAUUUAUCGCCCAGGGAUGAGCCCGCGUAGGAUUAGGUAGUUGGUGGGGUAAUGGCCUACCAAGCCGACGAUCCUUAGCUGGUCUGAGAGGAUGAUCAGCCACACUGGGACUGAGACACGGCCCAGACUCCUACGGGAGGCAGCAGUGGGGAAUAUUGGACAAUGGGCGAAAGCCUGAUCCAGCAAUGCCGCGUGAGUGAUGAAGGCCUUAGGGUUGUAAAGCUCUUUUACCAGGGAUGAUAAUGACAGUACCUGGAGAAUAAGCUCCGGCUAACUCCGUGCCAGCAGCCGCGGUAAUACGGAGGGAGCUAGCGUUGUUCGGAAUUACUGGGCGUAAAGCGCGCGUAGGCGGUUACUCAAGUCAGAGGUGAAAGCCCGGGGCUCAACCCCGGAACUGCCUUUGAAACUAGGUGACUAGAAUCUUGGAGAGGUCAGUGGAAUUCCGAGUGUAGAGGUGAAAUUCGUAGAUAUUCGGAAGAA